rnacentral:ncRNA from 1 species
CUGAUAUCCGCAAAACGUGCGGCUUUCGCAAUCGAGGUGCGCACGUGUGAUCUUUGAGGAGCCCUGAAAAGGGCCGUUUGGUGAGUCUUGAAAAGGACUGUUGUAGACCUGAGAAGGACUGAUCUAACGGGAUCUACGUUCCCUAAACGUUAUCGAUGGCCUCGUCCGAGUACGCCGUAGAGGCCCCCAGCGACUGCCGCGGGAUGUUCUGUCGGCCGGUGCUGGCGCGGACCUUGCGCGGCUGCGAGAUGUUGUAAAAGUAACUAAAAGAAAAUUUUCCGCCUUAAGCUUAUGGUUAUAAUUAAGUAACGGCCUCUAAGUUUAUAUUAUCUAAAGAUUUUAAUGAUGAGAAAAUCUUUUUUUACUAAGGACAACAUUUUAGUGUAAAAUGUGCAGGAAAAAUAGUAAAUAUAUUUGUUCAUUAAUAACAAAUGAACCAUAACCGUACCUAGAAUCUAAAAAAAGUAAGCUAGUAGAGAAUACGAAGGCGUAAAUGAGCUAACAAUCAUAAAGGAACUCGGCAAACUGACUAUCGUAACUUCGGAAUAAGAAGGGCUCAUUAUUCUUGAUUAAUAUCAAGUAAAAAGGAAGAAGCAUGAAAUAAUGUUGUACGACUGUUUAAUUAAAACACAGCACUUUGCUAAAAGAUAAAAAAAUCUAAGUAUAAAGUGUGAUACCUGCCCGGUGCCGGCUGGUUAACAGAAAUAAUUGAAUAUACUAUUAUUUGAUGCAGACGGAAACCCCGGUUAAAGGCGGCCUUAACGUGAGGGUCCUAAGGUAGCGAAAUGCCUUGGCCGUUAAAUGCGGUCUUGCAUGAAUGGUGUAACGAUACAACAGCUGUCUCUAUGAUUGACUCAGUGAAAUUG